rnacentral:miRNA from 1 species
GUCUCUGCCUUCAAGGAGCUCAGAGUCUAGUGAGAAUGGCAGAUGUGCCAGCCCCUGUUGGGACCUGCUUUGUGGACUGGUGCU